UUUAUUUUCAAGCUGUUGACGGGCCGCAAUGAAUAUGGUCUGAAUAUAUUUUCAGGUUGUGACUGAAGGCCUUGUUUUGAGGGUGUUUUGCAGACCAGUGCUUGUCGGCCUGGGGAUUUUCCAGAAAAACUGUAGACUGCCCCCUUAAGGUUUAGGUCUGAGAGUGUAUGCCAGAGUGUCUGCCUGUGCUAACCCUGCUGUGGUUCUGACGAAUUGACUGUCCCUGGCUUCCUUGUCUGUCAGCCGUACCAGUCGUUUAGAAGCUUUCGGCGCCUCGGAACUUGCACUGGAAACUCCAGGUUGUGACUGAAGGCCUUGUUUUGAGGGUGUUUUGCAGACCAGUGCUUGUCGGCCUGGGGAUUUUCCAGAAAAACUGUAGACUGCCCCCUUAAGAUUCAUCUGUGCUUAAGACCCUGUGACUCAUGGCCGCUGCUUUUUUUUCGAGUUUUCCCCCGGAUCAGCUUGUAGUGAAACUGGAAGCUGUUCUGGGUGAAAAGAGUUUAGGUCUGAGAGUGUAUGCCAGAGUGUCUGCCUGUGCUAACCCUGCUGUGGUUCUGACGAAUUGACUGUCCCUGGCUUCCUUGUCUGUCAGCCGUACCAGUCGUUUAGAAGCUUUCGGCGCCUCGGAACUUGCACUGGAAACUCCAGGUUGUGACUGAAGGCCUUGUUUUGAGGGUGUUUUGCAGACCAGUGCUUGUCGGCCUGGGGAUUUUCCAGAAAAACUGUAGACUGCCCCCUUAAGGUUUAGGUCUGAGAGUGUAUGCCAGAGUGUCUGCCUGUGCUAACCCUGCUGUGGUUCUGACGAAUUGACUGUCCCUGGCUUCCUGU